rnacentral:tRNA from 1 species
GAGGGUACAGCUCAGUGGCAGAGCACAUGCUUAGCAUACACGAGGUCCUGGGUUCAACCCCCAGUACCUCCA